rnacentral:tRNA from 1 species
GCGGGUGUAGUUCAAUGGUAGAACACUGGCCUUCCAAGCCAGAUGCGUGGGUUCGAUUCCCAUCACCCGCUCCA